rnacentral:lncRNA from 1 species
GUGCCUGCAGGACAGGGCUCUGAAGUGGAAGUGGGCGGUGGUGAUGCCGAACUGACAAGAAUGAGCUGAAGAGAAGAAAGUAGCCGAGAAGGGGGCCAAGCCGGAGCUCAGUGAGCAACAGCUAGGCCAGCCGCGGCUGGUGCCAUCAGCCACACCACUAACUGUGGACCCAAAUGGAAACUUUGAGGCCCCUUACAGGUCCCCCAGCGCAGGCCACCGCCGAAGGUUACUGGGGAAGACCCCUGCAGCUUCCAUGUGGACAUUACUCGCUUGCUUCAUCCCGGAGUGCAGUCACCUGCAGCCUGGGACCACCUGACUGAUGUCACCCUGGAGAUCCAUGCCAAAAGAGCUGGGGAAAGUUCACCUUCUAAUGACCCCUGCGGACCAGGGUGAAGUUACAAGUUAUGGCCAGGUCAAGGAAUUAUAAGUCAAUAAAUAAACUGCCUCAGGGAGACGUACUCAGAGUCCAGGAAAAUCUAGGAAACACCAAGAAGGGCGAGCGCAGCAUCAGCCCCUGCAAAAUUGCACUGCUGCCUCCUGGCUCACAUGUUGCCCCAUCCUUACUUUAGCCUCAAAGGCAAGGAGACCCAAUAUUAUUUGAGUACUUGGAUUUGAUCCUGAGUGACUUUCUGAGAAAGCAGUGUAUCAUCUGCCCUAAGAUCACCACAUAUAUGACAAGGUUUUUGGAUGAGUUGAGAUUUCUAGACAUUGAAACCCUCAUGAUGAACGUCAUCCCGGGUAGCAGGGGCUAAGCCUUUCAUCACCUGCUACAACAAGCUGGACAUUAACUUGUAUUUGAGAAUUGCUCCAGGACUCUACCUUCAGAUGCUGGUUAGUAGCAUUGACUGGAUUUAUGAAAUUGGAUGCCAGUUAAGGAAUAAGAGAAUGUAUUUGAUUUGCCACCCUAUAUGGUCUGUGCAGACUGUCAUGAUCUCAUUGAAAUCCAAGAAAAGAUUAUGUCAGGGAUGAAGCACAUCACAGGUGGUUACAAGGUCACCCACCAUCCAGAUGGCUCAGAAAGCCAAACCUAUGGGUUGACUUCUCCUCACCCUUCUGGAGAAUCAGUGUGGUAGAAGAGCUUGAAAAAGUGCUGGGUGUGACGCUGCCAGAAACUAACCUCUUUGGAACUGAAGAAACUCAAAAAAUUAUUGGUGAUAUCUAUGUAACAAAAGCUUUUGAAAGUCUUCUACCUCAGAACAUAUUCAGGCGCCUUGAUAAACUUGUCAAGGAGUUCCUGAAAGUGACUUACAUCAGUCCCACAUUUAUCUGUUAUCACCUGCAGAUAAUGAGCUCUUUGACCAAAUGAUCUCUCUAAGAGGGUCUCACUGAGCACUUUGAGCUAUUUGUCAUGAAGAUAGCUGAAUGUUUCCAUGCAGCAACAGCAGCAGCUGUUGACAAACAAGACAAGGCCAGCAAAGAUGAUGAGGCCACAUUCAUAGAUGAAAGCUUCCAUGCAACCCUGGAAUAUGGGCUUCCGCCCACAGCUGGUUGGAGCGUGACAAUCAAAUGUGUUACCAUGUUUCUCACAGACUCCCACAACAUCAAGGAAAUAUUUCUGACUCCUGGCAUGAAACUUGAAGAAAGAGAAUGUAGCAGCCACUAAUACAAUGGAAAGCGCAACAUUGACACGUCUAUCUAG